GAUGAACGCUGGCGGCGUGCUUAACACAUGCAAGUCGAACGAUGAAGCUGGAGCUUGCUCUGGUGGAUUAGUGGCGAACGGGUGAGUAACACGUGAGCAACCUGCCCCUGACUCUGGGAUAACAGCCGGAAACGGCUGCUAAUACCGGAUAUGCACCAUGAACGCAUGUUCUGUGGUGGGAAAGAUUUUUCGGUUGGGGAUGGGCUCGCGGCCUAUCAGCUUGUUGGUGAGGUAAUGGCUCACCAAGGCGUCGACGGGUAGCCGGCCUGAGAGGGUGACCGGCCACACUGGGACUGAGACACGGCCCAGACUCCUACGGGAGGCAGCAGUGGGGUAUAUUGCACAAUGGGCGAAAGCCUGAUGCAGCAACGCCGCGUGAGGGAUGACGGCCUUCGGGUUGUAAACCUCUUUUAGCAGGGAAGAAGCGAGAGUGACGGUACCUGCAGAAAAAGCGCCGGCUAACUACGUG
rnacentral:rRNA from 1 species